UGCGUAGGGGGCAAGCGUUGUCCGGAUUUAUUGGGCGUAAAGGGCGUGUAGGCGGCUUCGCAGGUCUGUGGUGAAAGGAUACAGCUCAACUGUAUUGAGCCGCGGAAACGGCGGAGCUUGAGGCUGGGAGGGGCUGGUGGAAUUCCCUGUGUAGCGGUGAAGUGCGUAGAGAUGGGGGAGAGCACUCGUGGCGAAGGCGGCCAGCUAGACCAGUUCUGACGCUGAGACGCGAAAGCGUGGGGAGCAAACAGG
rnacentral:rRNA from 1 species